ACAGAACGAACGCUGGCGGCGCGUCUAAGCAUGCAAGUCGAACGGCAAGAGGUAGCAAUACCUCCUAGAGUGGCGGACUGGUGAGUAACACGUGGGUGACAUACCCUUCAGAUGGGGGAUAGCUAUUAGAAAUAGUAGAUAAUACCGAAUACGAGCACAGGGGUUAGAGAUCUGUGAGGAGAGGAGCUAAGGCUCCGCUGAAGGAAUGGCCUGCGGCCCAUUAGCUAGUUGGUGAGGUAAGAGCCCACCAAGGCGAUGAUGGGUAUCCGGCCUUAGAGGGUGAACGGACACAUUGGGACUGAGAUACGGCCCAGACUCCUACGGGAGGCAGCAGCUAAGAAUAUUCCGCAAUGGACGAAAGUCUGACGGAGCGACGCCGCGUGGAUGAAGAGGGCCGGAAGGUUGUAAAAUCCUUUUGAAACUGAAGAAUAAGCGUUGUAGGGAAUGACAGCGUGGUGACAGUAGGUUUUGAAUAAGCAACGGCUAAUUACGUGCCAGCCGCUGC
rnacentral:rRNA from 1 species